GACGAACGCUGGCGGUGUGCUUCACACAUGCAAGUCGAACGGGGUAGCAAUACCCAGUGGCGGACGGGUGAGUAACACGUGGGAAUCUACCAUUAGAUGGGGAAUAACAGGCCGAAAGGACUGCUAAUGCCGCAUAUGUAUGUGCCUCGACAGGGGCGUAUAUGAAAGGAGUAAUCCGUCUGAUGAUGAGCCCGCGUCCGAUUAGCUAGUUGGUAGGGUAAAAGCCACCAAGGCGACGAUCGGUAGGUGGUCUGAGAGGAUGAUCACCCACAAUGGGAC
rnacentral:rRNA from 1 species